UUUUAAUAUUAACAGGAACAAGAGCUGUCUGAGAUAGGAUAGAGAAGCUCAGAUGAGAAGAAAAUACGGAAAAAACUAAUUGUAGAAAAGGGAAGCAGAUAGAUAGAAUAUUUUUUCCUACAGUACUAGAGGUUAUAUAACUCCCAGAUAAACAAGGCACUAGCCUUAUUCUUUUUAAGAGGAGCUUCCCUGAAAAGAGUCAGAGGGAAAUUUCAUUGAGCUGCUGUCUAAAAUUCAACUGGACAUUUUGUAAGGAAGAAAACAGAGAUAACUUGACUACAGGAUGUUCUGAUGCAGGUCUCAGUGAUGAUAUCCACCUGGCAACAGCUCCAUUCACUUAGACAGUGAACUUCCCAUGACUCCAGUGGGUGUUUUGCAUGACUAAGGACAGUCGGCACUGACCCAAGCCAGUAAGUCCUUGAGAGGUGUUUCUGCCAGCCUGCCUUCCCAAAUGCACUUGGAGGUGGUUUGUGACAAACAAUUUUCUGUUCUCAGUACUUAUGCUCUGACCCCAGGGGGAAAAGGGCGUGUUGCACCUACUACACCCUGGAGGACCAUUUUCAGCUCUGCUUGUCUGGUAGCCAAGGGACUCCAGAUUUGGUCUGACAAAUGCACUGGAAGGAGCAGAAUUUGGGAGACUCUGCCUGCCUGCAUAUUUGGAGAAGGGUGGGAGUCCCUGGCAUGAUCAGAGGAUAUGUUGGCCACUGUCCCAUUAAGACUGGGAAUGAAACAAUGGCAGAGUUUGCCACAGCCCCCACGUCAGCCUCUUCAGAGACAGAAUCUGGGCCAGAAGUCCCCUGGUGAAGCCUGCAAACCCUGCCUGGAGCAGAUGAAACUGCAAGCAGACUGUUUGUGGAUCAGUGCUCUCCUUCCCACACAGACAUAUGCCUGAGGAGAAAAACAAUGAAACGUUCAGAGGUACAAGCUGCUUUUCUAAGUCCUCAUAAAAGCACCGGCUCUGUUGCCAUCGAACUGUCAUAUGAAAUCCAAGAUAUUAAAGGUGAUCUCCCCUAUCCCCUCCAAAGGACUGCUUUACUGCAAGUACAGAAAAGAACAUAUUUGGAAAGGAGCAUUGGGUGGCCGCUACCAAGCCAACAGUGGAAAAGGCAACAAGAUGCAUGUAAGCUGUGCAUGUUACAUUGUGGGGAACAGGACUUUCACUGUCCUACAGAUCCUUUUGAGCAAGACUUCUGUCACUUUAAGUCUCCAAAAAAUAAGUAA
rnacentral:lncRNA from 1 species